GCUAGUUGGUAAGGUAACGGCUUACCAAGGCAACGAUGCAUAGCCGACCUGAGAGGGUGAUCGGCCACACUGGAACUGAGACACGGUCCAGACUCCUACGGGAGGCAGCAGUAGGGAAUCUUCCGCAAUGGGCGAAAGCCUGACGGAGCAACGCCGCGUGAGUGAUGAAGGUCUUCGGAUCGUAAAACUCUGUUAUUAGGGAAGAACAUAUGUGUAAGUAACUGUGCACAUCUUGACGGUACCUAAUCAGAAAGCCACGGCUAACUACGUGCCAGCAGCCGCGGUAAUACGUAGGUGGCAAGCGUUAUCCGGAAUUAUUGGGCGUAAAGCGCGCGUAGGCGGUUUUUUAAGUCUGAUGUGAAAGCCCACGGCUCAACCGUGGAGGGUCAUUGGAAACUGGAAAACUUGAGUGCAGAAGAGGAAAGUGGAAUUCCAUGUGUAGCGGUGAAAUGCGCAGAGAUAUGGAGGAACACCAGUGGCGAAGGCGACUUUCUGGUCUGUAACUGACGCUGAUGUGCGAAAGCGUGGGGAUCAAACAGGAUUAGAUACCCUGGUAGUCCACGCCGUAAACGAUGAGUGCUAAGUGUUAGGGGGUUUCCGCCCCUUAGUGCUGCAGCUAACGCAUUAAGCACUCCGCCUGGGGAGUACGACCGCAAGGUUGA
rnacentral:rRNA from 1 species